AGAAUCAACGCUGGCGGCGUGCCUAACACAUGCAAGUCGAACGAGAAAGUGGAGCAAUCCAUGAGUAAAGUGGCGCACGGGUGAGUAACACGUGACUAACCUACCCUUGAGUGGGGGAUAACCUAGGGAAACCUGGGCUAAUACCGCAUAAUACCUUCGGGUCAAAGGAGCAAUUCGCUUAAGGAGGGGGUCGCGGCCGAUUAGUUAGUUGGCGGGGUAAUGGCCCACCAAGACUGUGAUCGGUAUCCGGCCUGAGAGGGCGCACGGACACACUGGAACUGAAACACGGUCCAGACUCCUACGGGAGGCAGCAGUGGGGAAUUUUGCGCAAUGGGGGAAACCCUGACGCAGCAACGCCGCGUGGAGGAUGAAGUCCCUUGGGACGUAAACUCCUUUCGAUCGGGACGAUUAUGACGGUACCGGAAGAAGGAAGCCCCGGCUAACUUCGCGCCAGCAGCCGC
rnacentral:rRNA from 1 species